CCUGAGAAUAACAAACAUAUUUUGAGAAUAUGGAGGAUCUGGGCAAGUAUGCCUUUUGUGAACCAAGAAAAGAGAAUUCUCUACCCUUUCCUCAUCCUGUCAAAUUUGUUUAUGUCUUAGUGUUUUUAAGAAGUACAGCCCUUUGGCCACACAUGUAUUUAAUCUAAUAGCUGGACCAUGAACCACACAGCCUGAUUAUACUUGGAAAGAUGUCAUAUAACAACCUGAAGAGUUGCCUCAGAUGAUUCUAGCUCAGUGGAAUUGUCCCUGAGAGAAAAAUAAAACUGUGGCUUCCAUCUAGCCAGGUAAGAAGCUGAAGGCAUCUUAAAUAUCUGAGAAAUGAAACUUGAAGCAUAAGAACUGUGAGAAGUUACGGGUUAUUCUGCAGAAGGGAGAAAUCCUCUUAUCCAGGAGAGUAGAAGAUACCUUGAGGCUGAAUUAUUCCUGUUUUCUUUCCCCAGUUUACAACAAGUUUUUGAGAUUGAAUGGCUAAGGUUGAAGCAGGAAUUUUCAGGAGUUCUUGGGAAAUGACAAGUGAGCAGUUUAAUCAUAGGCAUUGUCUUCCAUGAGCAAAUUCAGUAAAAGGUUUUAUAUAGAGAGGGGUUUUUUUUUUGGUACCAGGGAUCCAACUCAGGACCUUGUGCUUGCCAAGCAGGUGCAGUGCCACUGAGCUAAAUCCUCAGCCCUUAUAUAGAGUUUUGAUAGUUAUAAAAGUUAGGAAAAUGAUCCAAACUGGCAAAAAAAAAGUAAAUCUUUGGUUGAUAUAACUGUAAAGUCCAAACACAAGGGGCAGGCUCUCAUCUGGCUUGCUAUAGAGGGUUGUUAUGGCUUUUAUUUAGAUGUCCCCCAAAGCCUCAUGCAGAUAAGGUGGGGUUUUUUCAGAGGUGGCUGAAUCCAGAGUGUGUGAUGCUAGGAUUAAGGGCAUGUGAUUACUAAACCUCAUGAGUGAUGGGCACUGCCCUAAUUCCGGUAAUCUGCAUAAGAUAAAAGUCCCUUCAGGUGUGUGCAUGCCCUACCAAGGUCCUGAGUCCCACAGAACACGCCGAAUCAGCCGCCUACAGACAGGCAGGUCAGUGCACGCCCUACCGAGGUCCUGAGUUGCUCAGAAGAGCAUGGAAGACUCCGAAUCACCCUGCUGCAGACAGGCAGGUCUGCCCAUGCCCUACCGAGGUCCCCAGUCACGUGGAAUACAUUGAAUCAGCCCGCUGCAGACAGGCAGGUUUGUGCAUGCCUUACCGAGGUCCCCAGUUACACAGAAGACACCAAAUCACCCCGCUGCAGACUGGAAGCCACCUGGUUCCACGCUACAAAGAUGCAGAGGACACCAGACCGCCAGACCACAGUACUGAGUCCCGCUGCUCCAGGC
rnacentral:lncRNA from 1 species